AUACAUACCUUUUUCCAUAUUUUAGAUUAUUUUUCUGAGACAUAUUUGUCUAUGGCCACAUUGAGGCUUUCCUGUUGAGCCAUGUCAAACAUUUGAAUUUUAUCCUAAAAAUAUUCGGAAGCGCAAAGGGAUUUCAAGCAAGGGAAUAGUAGAUUGAGAUUUAUGUUUCAGAAAUAAGACUGUCAUGGCAGUUAGAAGAUUGUAGAGAAAAAAAGAGAAGAGACAGAGAGAUUUAUUGGAAUUUAAAAAAAAAAAAAAAAAAAAGCAGUUCGGGGAAUUGAUAACAAAGGCCUGGCCAAAGACGGUGGGAAUAAGAAAAUGGAUCGCAAAGUAUUUGUGACCCAGACUAGACAGGACCUGGUGACUGGCUGGAUGUGGGGUUAAGGAGAGGGUGGCAUUGAGAAGGAUCCUGAGCUUUCCAUCUCAAGACAACGGAGGUGAAGUGUAAAGGAGGAGUAGGUUGGGGAGGAAAGAAUCCUAUUUAGGACCUCUUGAGUUGGAAAUGCUUGUAAGACAUCCUGGUGGAGACACCUAAGAAGUAACUGAACAUGUGUUUGGUACUUUGGAGAAAAGCGAAAGCUUGAAAAGAAAAUGUACACUUAGGUUAAUUGUUAAAGUAGUUAUUAAGUGAUUUCAGUGGGUAAGACACCUGUUGCAAACUGUGAGAGACUCAAAUAAACAGAAAUGCAUUCUUCACCGGAUCCCGGAAGCUUAUAAUCAUCCUGCGUCACUAAAGCAAUUACCUUGUUAGGCUGUCAUUUCUCCAUUCACAUGUCUGCUUCUCCAAGCACACCGAGAUCCUCUCUGGGCCUAGGGCCCAGCUCUGUCCUUAUUCUCUUUUUAUCCUUUGUGAUAUGAUAUUCUCUUUCUUUCACAUGCAAUAAAGGGCACAGUGCAAGGUCAUUAGCCAUUAAUGCUUAUGGAAAGAUGAGUGAGUGAAAGGAAGAGCUUAUGAGGGGGCAACAAAGGGCUAAGAAGUUUAGGUUGUGAAAGAGACCCCAUCUUAUACCAUACACAAAAAUAAAUUCCAGACAAAGUCAAGACUCAGAUGUAAAAACAAACAAAAAAGCUUUGUGGGAGUGCCCACUGUGAUGCAGAUUAAGGAUCCAGCAUUGUCUCUCCAGUGGUUUGGAUUGAUGCUGAGGCGUGGGUUUGAUCUCCUGCCCAGCACAGUGGGUUAAGCAUCCAGUGUUGCCUAGCUGUGGCAUAGGUCACAGCUGUGGCUGGAAUUUAGUCUCUGGCCCGGGAACUUCCUUAUGCCACGGCUCAGUGGGUUAGGAACUCGACAAGUAUCCAUGAGGAUGCAGGUUUGAUCCCUGGCCUUGCUUAGUGGAUUAAGGAUCUGGUAUUGCCCUCAGCUGUGGAGUAGGUCACGGAUAUGGUUCAGAUCUGGUGUGGCUGUGGCUGUGGUGUAGGCCAGCAGCUGUAGCUCUGAUUCGAUCCCCUAGCCUGGGAACUUCCAUAUGCCAUAGGUGCAGC
rnacentral:lncRNA from 1 species